rnacentral:lncRNA from 1 species
GUUGACUAUACAAUAAAUAAUCAUCAAUUAUGGAACAACAACAAUCUACUAUCCUGUACAAUAUUAUAUUUCCAAGGAGAAAAGAGUAUGGUAUUUCGAUGGAAAUUUAUCAAAAGAAAAGUUGUGAACCUAUAAACGAAACUGAUAUCCAAUUGGAAUUUGUUGAACUCGCUACAGUUGUCGCUCCAUGUCCAUGCAGACUCGCCAUCAUGGCGGCGGCGGCGGCGGCGGCGGCGGCGGUUGAAGCUUGCGCAGUGACGCGCCGGCUUCUUCUUCUCCGGCAGCCAUCUUAGUUAUUAGUACUCUCCUUUGAAUUACACGUGUGUCAUUAAUUUUGCCUAUCGUAAAUGUGUUUGUGUGCAUAAAAGUACAAGUUUGGUGAGAUUAAUACAAUCAUUAUCGUUCGGCCGGCGGUUCUUCUAUCUGCUCAUUAUAUUAUUUUCAUUAUAAAACUCGGAACGUGAUUCGCUUUACGGCUUCUCUCUCUCUCUCUCUCAUUCUUCGAAUCUUUCAACUGACACGCGAAUUACGUGUGAAUUAAUAUCAUCACCGCCGUCGAUGCAUCUGAAAUGUAACUUUUAUAAACUGUACUGUAAAACAUUUCAAAGGAGAAAAUUACCGACUGGUAGAGAGAAUAUGUUUCACCAUCUAGCCGAAAGAUAGCACUUCACGCUAGGACAAAAUCAAGAUGGCUACCUGUCAAUGUACAUUGUACUUUUGUAUAUACUGGAAAACAGUUCCCACCACAUACGCAAUUUAUCGGCAACUAUAUGGAUAUGAUGUAUAGUACGCUGGAUGAAUUGCUAUUGUGUAUUAACAUUUUAAUCUCCUAUGACACACAAACACAUGAAAAUUAUAGCAAUUUACGAAAAAUGCAGCAGCAACCCCACAUGCGCAAUUUAUCGGCAACUAUAUGGAUAUGAUGUAUAGUACGCUGGAUGAAUUGCUGUUUUUUUGGAGUUGUAGUAGUAGUAAUAGUAGUUGUAACACUUUAAUAUCAUAAGACGCACAAACAUAUCAGAAUUUUUAAAUGACAAAAUUAUAGCAAUUUACGUAAAAUGCAGCAACCCCCCCAAUAUGAGGCAGUUAGCAAACGUGUCCAGUCUUGUCCGACCAAGACAUGACACACACCACCCAACCAGUAGCAGCAGCAACCUGUGAUGAUGAUGAUGACUAUUAUUGGGUAUCAUUACACAUAAUAGAUGAUAAUUUGUAGUAACAUUUUUGUCUCCUGAUAUUACAUUUUAUCAUCAUCAUUUGUGAAUGACAAAAUUACGGCAUUUUACGUAAAAUGUUGUCUCCUCAUAUAUAUAUGUAUAUGAAGGAAUUUAAAAAAUUCUGAUUGUCCUGUUCGUAAAGCUUGACCACCCCAGCUAUCCAUAACAUUAGAAGCAUAUUUCAAAACGGCUAAAUAAUUUUCUUUGCCAACAACUUGCACCAAAAUUAACAUUAUAUAAUAGUGUAUACUUGUGUAUCACAUGAUGGUAAGAUAACUGUUUUAUUAUUUGGAGUACUUUUACGUUUUCUUUUAUUUUGAUUAGUUAUUUCAUCUAUGGUAUCAUUUUCCUCCUUUUUGUUUAUCUCUCUUUGGACAACUACAAACUCUAACUAAUAAUUUACGACGUCCAAGUACUCAAUUUAUUAAUGUGCACAUCUUCCAUCAUCAUGUGAAAAC